UGCUAUCACUUGACAAGUAUUCCUAUCUGGCUGAGGGAUACUCACUAUCAGCCUCGCCUCCUGCCCCGUCUCAUACCUUUUCUCACAUGUGCCCACUGCUCUAGGCAGCUAGUCACUUCUCCCUGCAGCUGCUAAUGACCCUUCCAAACACUAUGCCUUCACUUUCUCUCUUCUUCAUCCAUCCCGUUCACAUUCCAAUAGAAUCUUUUGGGCAAAGAUGGAGUUGUCUAGCUCAAAUCUCAUUUCUUAUAGGACAAGGCUCAUCAAUAUUAGCUCAAACAUGUAGAGAGAGAGAGAGAGAGCUGUCUAAGCCCCACCACCAGAUUCUUUUGUUUUUUCUUUUGGUCACACCCAUAUCACAUGGAAGUUCCCAGGCCAGGGACUGAAUUUGAGCCACAGCUGUGACCUACACCAUAGCUGCGGCAAUAAUGGAUCCUUAACCCACUAUGCUGGGCCAGGGAUUGAACCUGAAUUGCUGCAGAGACAAUGCCAGAUCCUUAACCUCCCAUCCCUCAGCAGAAUCUCCCAGAUUUUCUAAUCUAAUUCAUCUGGCCAUGAAUAUUUUUAGAAGGCUUUCAAGAAUAUGCUGAGGGGCUGCCAUGGUUGACAACUGCUACUCUGUGAAGACCUCUUAAGCCUUUCAUGUUUUAGUUAUUUGGUGGAUGUCUCUAAAAUACUGCACAAUAGUCUGGAUCAUGCAAAUUAACAUUUCUUUUUACUGCUACCUUCAGUCUUAUUUACCAGAUUGGAAGCAUCUUUUCCAUUUUGUCCACUGAAUCUACUGCCACUCAUGGAAGAUUCUGGAUACAUUUUUGAUUAGUGAACAGUCUUCACUUCUUAUACAUACCCAUGAAGUGCAAAAUAUUUAUAGCUUUGAAUCCUCGUUUAUAAACCCUAAAUGAGGUUAGGCUUGCUUGGGUUACUAUCUUUCCUUAAAAUCAUUACCAUUUUUUGUAGUUAGCCCAUUAAUGAGAUUUCUGUGCUAGACUGUGAGUUCCAUGAGAGCAGGGUCCGUAACCCUUCACCAAUGUACCUCUACUAGCUAGUACCUAGUCUAACACAUAGAGGCAUUGAAUAAAUCAUUGCUGAAUGAAUCCCAUCCUGGUUCAGCAGUUAACAAACCUGACUGGCAUCCAUGAGGACACAGGUUUAAUCACUGGCCUCGCUUGGAGGGUUAAGUAUCUGGCAUUGCCGUGAGCUGUGGUGUAGGUCACAGACAUGGCUUGGAUCCUGCCUUGCUGUCACUGUGGCAUAGGCCCAGCAGUUACAGCUCUGAUUUGACCCCUAGCCUGGGAACCUCCAUAUGCCGCAGGUGUACCCCUAAAAAGACAAAAAAAAGAAGAAAUCAUUGCUGAAUGAAUCAUUUAAUGAAAUAAGUGCUUGAAUAAAUGCAUUUAAAGUCAUAUCAGUAUGACUUGUUCAUGGAAAGUGAGCAUACCGUCAUCACUACCCUGAGGUGGAAUGUGUAUGUGUGUACAUGUGUAUAUAUGUGCACAUGCAUGAGUGUAUGUGCAUGCAUGUGUGACUAUCUAUAUGCUGUGUGUGUUUCAGAUGCACAAUCACUGUGAGCAUCCUUACAACGAUCCAAAAGUUGCUGAGUAUUCCAAAGGAUCCCUCAGCACCUCUCGGUUCUGCACAGCUGGUAUCUCUGCUCUCCCUAGCUAUCGUCCUGGGAAAUAUGGUAUUAAUACUGAACGAACAGAUGGUGUAGGGUGUGUUACUUAAGACAGUUUUGCCAGGAGGUAAAUUUAUGCUUUAUAAAUGUACUUCAAAACUAUGCUAUUUGAUUUAAUCACUUAAUGCAAAGACAGCUGCAUACUAUAUUUGCCUUAACUGCAGUUAUAUGGGUUAUCUGCCAAUCUGUUAAUUAUAGUAUUUUGAAAGGCUUCAGGAAAAAAAAACAGUAAUUAUACAGAUGGGGGGGAGGAACAUUUUUGAAGCCUAAAUUCAGACAUUCAUUCCCAGCAAACACAAACUUAUUGAAGAUUUAGAAAACCUGUUAAAAAAGUGGGAGUAGAUGUGAUGGUUUUCCUCUGAAAGGGACUUAUGCAUGUGUUCUCACCCAGCAUUAGUUACUAUGGGUAACUGCAGGGGAGACAGGAAGGGAGCGGUGGUCCAACUGGACAAUGCCACAGCCCACUCACCAUGGUCUUUGAGCAACUGCUCAAUUCCUUGAAAUUAGAAAGAGGGGGAAGAGGAGAAGGGGAAGGAAGAGGCAGAAGGGGGAAGACGGGAGAAAAGGGGCACGAGGAGGAGGUUCUACUUUAAGUGACAACCUAAUUCUGCCCUUGAUGCUCUCAUACUCCACCAUCAUCUGCUUGCUCCCUGAGCUCUCUGUGCCUAAGUUUUCUCUGCUAAACAGUUACAGCAAUGAUUAAGCAAAUUUAAUUAAUACCAUAUCAGGGAAAAGGAAUAUUUUAAGCUUAGUCUGACAACUUCCUUUUCUUGCCAAGGACUAGAUACUGCAUACUUGAAGGAGAAAUCUGGCCCAUUUCCCCUAUCCUCUGGGAAUUCACGUACAAUGAAUUUCGUUGUCAUGUUAAGAGCAAGAUUUCCUCUCUCUGGGCAGCUGUACCAGGAUGAAAGCAUUGAACAGGACCCAGGCUGUAAACCAAAGAAUUUUGGAAGGAGUGUUACAGAUUAUCUGGUCCAAUUCACUCUUUUCACAGAUGAGAAAACUGGGAAUCCACAUUCUUAACUGACUCACUUUCCCAAAUUAGUUAAGAAAAAAUGAGGUUUUGACCAAGGACCCUCUUCUAUCAGUUUAGGCCAUUUUGAGGUGCAUCACACUGUUUAUAAGCCUAUAAAAUAACAAAAAGAGCAAAGAAUUUAUUUUCCUGGGCUAGUCCAACACAUGAUUGGCUGGAGCUGCCUUUGGGCAAAGUAAGAAGCCAGCAGUAAUAGUAGUCAUCCUGACUUCCUAAGGCCUCCACACAUCACAGCUUCCAGUGCCAUCUGCCCUGACAACAGUGCCCUGUGCAAUUGUGCAUCACAGCCUGCGUGCCACCUACUAUGUGCUAGGUACAUUCCACACAUCAUCUCAGCAGCAACAACUGCCCACAACCUAAACGCAAAUAGUAUCUCACACACUUCACAACAGGGAAACAUGCUCUCAAAGUUUGAGUAACUUGGAGUUCCCAUCAUAGCUCAGAGGAAACAAAUCCACCUAGGAACCAUGAGGUUGCAGGUUCAAUUCCUGACCUCACUCACUGGGUUAAGGAUCCGGCGUUGCCGUGAGCUGUGGUGUAGGUCACAGACGUGGCUUGGAUCUGGCGUUGCUGUGGCUCUGGCAUAGGCCCCUAGCCUGGGAAACUCCGCAUGCGGUGGGUGUGGCCCUAAAAAAGGACAAGAGACAAAAAACAAACAAACAAACAAAAAAAUUGAUUAACUUGCUUAAACUCACACAGCUAAGUUCUAGUACAGUCUCAUAUUUAGACCUGGACUUACUAGAUUAAAAGAUAUUUGUCUUCCCCCCAAAAUAUACUUGUUUCUUGGCAACCUCCUUGCAAGAUGGACUAAAAAACCUUCCUCUGCUUCCCUGAGGCAUUUUACUGGGUCUGCUGCCAUUUGUCUAGUGGCAUCUGGUGGCCUGCUACCGCAGGCUACCCCUGUGCACUGCAACUCAUCUGACCAAUAACUCAUCUUCAUAGCCAGGCCCUAUGCAACAUUCAACAAGCUUCAGUUGAUAAAACUGAUGUGUGCUUCGACAAGCAGCCUGUGAGAACUCAGCUCUUUUUUUGCAAGACGUGUACAAUUCCCUACAGUCUUGGUUAUGCUGAUUCCCAGGCCCCCAUCUAACCUAACAGAGUAGAAUUUUUUAAAUUUCUUGUGUUAGGCAGAAGGCGAGGAUAAGGCCAAGGCUGGCAGGUGAAGAGGAAUUAGAGGGGGGCAGGUCUCACUUUUGGUAAUUCUCCUGUCAUAUUUAAACAAUUCAUCCCUAAUCUAUAAAGGAGUUGGCAGGUACUUACAUUUUCAGUGGUCCCUCGUAUUUUCAUUUCCUUGAGGCUGAUUAGAUCAAAAUUGUGAACACAGCAAUCGCUCUGAACCUUCAUAUCUCUGCCUUGAACACUUUUAUCUAUUAAAAAACAAGUGUUUUAUUAAAUUUUUCACAGGUAUGCCUAUGAUCACAAUUUUCUUAUGUUUUAGGGCAAUAUAAUUAUCAAUAUCCUCUGCUAUUUUCUGUUUUCUGAUUUUUUUCUAUUAUCUCAAAUUUUUAAAAAAUUAGUCAUCUUUGAAUAAAGCAAGUUUACCAGUUAACUAAAAGUAGUUUAUGCAUGAUAGAUUAGCAUUCUAAGUAGGAGAAAUUCUUUCUGGUUUAUGCUGAAGUGCUUUACAGCACAAGGUUGAGUGUGUGUGUGUGUGUGCACAGGUGCACAUGUGUAUUUCUUUAUAGUAUAGGAUAGCUUUCAGGAAGCUCUGCCACUAGCCCAAUAACCCAUUUCUGUUCUUCCAAAGAGGGAACUUUCUGUUCCUAAGAAGUAUGACAAUUAUGGGGAAUUCUAGCUGUUUAGAGAUCGACAGCCCCAUAUAGAAAGUCUUUAUUAAAAUCAGAAACUUUUUCUCUGAGAAAAAGAGUGAAAGACAAGUCAAAGAUGGGGAGACAAUAUUUGCAAAACACAUAUCUGACAAGUUAUUUGUAUCCAAAAUAGAGAAAGAACCUUUAAAAACUCAACAAUAAGAAAACUGAUGCCUUUGGGAUGGAUUAGCAAUGGGAUCCUGCUGUGUAGCACUAGGAAUUCUGUCUAGUCACUUAUGAUGGAACAUGUGAUAUAUGAAGAAAGAAUGUAUACAUGUAUGUAUAACUGGGUCACCAUGCUGUAC
ensembl:lncRNA